ACAUCAACAAGCAUGUGCGAGCUUCUACCUCUUAUAGCUCUUGAGUCACCACACGCUGGUUAUGUUUUUAUUUUAAUCGAGAUUGUUUAGAAAUACUUUCAUUAUCUUAUUUAUAGAAUUAUAGUAAUUUGAAAUGUUUUAAAAAAGUCAUUGUUUUACUGUAAGUUAAGACUAAUCUUUAGGGCCUCAUUAGGUUCACUGCUUUAUGAAGGAAAUCAAUGAUUUUAAUUGGUAGAAGGAGUUGGGUACACUUGGAGUGGUAUCUACCUUCAUAUAUCGAACUGUUGCAAAUGCAAAGUUAUGCUGGGUGGGAGGGGGCAACCAACGUAGCAACUCCCCUUGGGUGUGACCAUAGGGGCUCCCUGCCCGCAGAUGUAAUGUCUGGAUCGAGCCAUAGCUACCGUCCGGGAGGACGGGCCAUCAACAUGGCACCACCUGGUGCACAAUUGGCAUAAGCUCCCCUCCUCAAUGGUCCAAAGACUCAUCCGUAGACGUGAGGCCAAGCCACUUGCCGGGACUCGAACCCACAUCUCCGUCGAGGAGGGUAGUUAACCCUGCCAACUAGGCUACCACCUCAGUGGUCCUCUUUCAAGCUUGAUGUCCUACAAAUACUGCAAAAGAAAAAACUGCAACGGAGGGCUAAUACCUGGAGUAGUAUUUGAUUAUCUAUGAUGCUCUGCGAUUUGUGAAACCAUAUGCAAGUACCGUAUGCAUGUGUUAGCUGCUUCGUGGGUGCUGGAUCGAACAGUAUCCCAAUAAACCAAUAAUCAAGUCUUGGUCUACUGCUGGAAUGCAUUGCAUCAACCUGGGAAAAUUAGCUGAUCCAUCAGCUUAGCCUUGAUCUUCGUGCAUUCAUCUCCAUCAACCCUUGUGUUUAGCAGUACAGUCCAGCUGGGAGAUUCUGUUUCUUCUUUGCUAUCACAUUACUUACGUUCCUCCUACAAAUAAACAUUUAGCUUGGCAGAUGUGCAGGAUCAAUGGUUUUAUAUAUUGAUAACAACAUGCUCGUUAGUCUCCCAAAGUAUGGAGAUUACAUUGGGGAUUCCCUAUCACUACUAUUGCAAAUAUGUGGAACCAGUUGCGGAAUUGAAGUGUUGUAUAUCGUAUUGAGAAAAUGUUAUUUAGGGUCUUAAAAAUGUGAAGAUUUAGAGUGCUAGUAUUGAGGAUAUUUUGCUUCACCUGGGAGUAAGUGUCUGUAAACAAAUGUCAAACUACAUCUGUAGUUUGUAUGAAAAUGAAAUUCAAUAAAAUAUUUCUAUAAAA